AACGUAGGAGGCGAGCGUUAUCCGGAUUCACUGGGCGUAAAGCGCGUGUAGGCGGUUCGGCAAGUCGGUCGUGAAAGCCCCUGGCUCAACUGGGGGAGGUCGGCCGAAACUGCGGGACUCGAGGGUCAGAGAGGAAGGUGGAAUUCCCGGUGUAGCGGUGGAAUGCGUAGAGAUCGGGAGGAACACUCGUGGCGAAGGCGGCCUUCUGGAGGACCCCUGACGCUGAGACGCGAAAGCGUGGGUAG
rnacentral:rRNA from 1 species